YUACGUGCCAGCAGCCGCGGUAAUACGGAAGGUCCAGGCGUUAUCCGGAUUUAUUGGGUUUAAAGGGAGUGUAGGCGGUCUGUUAAGCGUGUUGUGAAAUUUAGGUGCUCAACAUCUACCUUGCAGCGCGAACUGGCGGACUUGAGUGCACGCAACGUAUGCGGAAUUCAUGGUGUAGCGGUGAAAUGCUUAGAUGUCAUGACGAACUCCGAUUGCGAAGGCAGCGUACGGGAGUGUUACUGACGCUUAAGCUCGAAGGUGCGGGUAUCGAACAGGAUUAGAUACCCUGGUAGUCCGCACGGUAAACGAUGGAUGCCCGCUGUUAGCGCCUGGCGUUAGCGGCUAAGCGAAAGCAUUAAGCAUCCCACCUGGGGAGUACGCCGGCAACGGUGAAACUCAAAGGAAUUGACGGGGGCCCGCACAAGCGGAGGAACAUGUGGUUUAAUUCGAUGAUACGCGAGGAACCUUACCCGGGCUUGAAC
rnacentral:rRNA from 1 species